UGUGGACUAGAUGUCCAGUCUGUCUCAGGGGCUGGGUGUCUCUUUUUAGAGGAAAAAAAGCUGAGUUUUAAGCAUGACGAGACAAAGACACUGACUGAAAACGGACAAAUAAUGAUUUAAAAAAAACUUUCACAACUCACCAUGGCAAUACGGGAGCUCAAAGUUUGCCUUUUAGGGGACACUGGAGUAGGGAAGUCCAGCAUUGUUUGCAGAUUUGUUCAGGAUCACUUUGACCACAACAUCAGUCCCACAAUAGGAGCAUCAUUCCUUACCAAAACAGUGCCAUCUGGGAAUGAACUACAUAAAUUUCUGAUCUGGGAUACAGCCGGACAGGAAAGGGUGAGUCCAC